AGUUCCUUGCUGGAUCUGGAGUAGUGUGGAUGGCUGAGGGAGCUGCAAGGACUGGACUGGACUGGACUGGACUGGACUGGACUGGACUGGACUGGACUGGACUGGACGAGAUGAAGCUGGGAAGAGCGAGAAGGUGCUCUGGACUGGCUUUGUUGGGACUCCAUCAGGACAAGCCCCUGAGAUGGCAUUCCUGAGCCCACGGCUGUAAUGUUUUGGACCCCAACCUUCAGAGCGGAAGUCAGUGGAAGUCAUUAGAACUGCAAUGUGAAGCCCACAAAGCUUGCAAGAUGCCAAAAAUGUUUGUACUGUCAACAAGUAACUGCUUCACGAAAGUUCUCGGGGGCGAAACUGAAAGCAUUCCGGCACCUGGGGAGGCAUAAUAGGCUGUUUUUCCUGAAGAAGAGAGAAUAUAGAACAGGGAUGAAGUAACAGGUGCAGUAAGGAGGUUGGGGACUUCAUGUCGUCUGAAUAUGAUGGGAUGGAAUAUACGGACACUUCAAUGUUAGUUGGAGAGCCCUCAUCUAGCCAAUGACAAAAUACCUCCCUUUCUCCACUAAGGAAUACAACCAUGAGCCCUUUGGGUCAUCAGUGCUGGUCUAGGAAGCCACCUACUUCUCCCCAGGAACUGGGUUUUUGUUCCAGUUCAGAUUCUAACUGUGUCUGGUGGUUUCUAAGGCGGACUGUAGAGCCUAGCGGAAGAUCUAGGUGAAAGUGCUUCUCUCACUAGCUUUGACGGGCUGAGGCAAGGCAGAUGUCAGUCUUAUUUUUGGACUGACCUCAUGAUUGAGAGCAAAUGGGCUUCAUCACUCUAAAAACUUGUUAAGAAGGAAGAGGAGGAGGCUGGAGGAACUGUGAGUAUCUGAAGAGUAGCAAAUGCAGGUAGAAGCAAUAGACAUAGCUAAGUUAUUUCCCGUGUUAGUCUUUAUUUCUUUUUGUUUUGCUUGAGUUCAAAAUGUUGGGUCAAAACCCUGGAUCUGUUUGUCUUUUGGAUUUUGCAAGGAGCAAGGGGAGAUGGGUCACAAUCUCCCUUAUGGGGACCUAUCUUUGUAACAGGCUGAGCCAAAACUUUGGGUCCAGACAUCCUGAGUGGCUGCUUUAUUUCAGAGUCAGUCAGACACAAACCACUAAAGGGAUUUUUUUUUUCUUUCACUGAAGAACUCUGACAUGUGUCUCUCUGGAGGUGUAAACUCAAUGACACACUUCUUUUGUAGAAGGGUAGCUUUGGGCCUCCCCUAUAUGACUAACCAUGAACAGCUAAUUAUGUGUUUAAAUGAUUUACUUGAUUUUCAGGUGACCUCCUCUGUUUGGGUGAUGCAGCUUAUUCUGCCCUUUUUGUGUACGACCCCUGUGAGUAAAAUCCAUCCCUGUGCGGAGGGCCUUGUAUGAGGUCUAUCCACGCUGAGGUGCCACCUCAGCCCCCAGAACAAGGAACAGAACGGUGCAUAGCCUUUGUGCUGGCCCUCUGAACAGGGAUGAAUUUCAUUCACUGUGUGGGUGACAGAAUAUAAUUGUGCAAACCAUGCGUACCAACCCAUUUUAUCAUUUUUUGAGCAAGUAGAGCCUAUGCUGAGGCCUCCGUUUUUCCAAAUGAAUCUGAAACAUCUGUGGAAGAUUUUGCUUCUGCCAUCAUCAGAAAAUGCACUUACGUUUUUAAUAGUGCUGGUUACUUGUACAGAAACCAGGGUGCACUCAGAGCAGUGGUUCUCAACUUACUUAUCAUUGUGUGCCCGCGCCAGAUCCCCAACCUAAUGGGGCUGGCCCGGAGCUCGCGGGGCCAGGCAGCAACCCCGGAUCCCCCUCCCUGCAGGGCCGGCUGGGAGACCGGAAGCCUCAACCCCUGGACUCCCGCCAAAUGGCAGCCCUGACCUCGCCUCACUGGGCAGCUGGGAACCCGGACCCCACCUCGUGAGCUGGGCUGCAGCUGUUCGCUAAUUGGGCCGCCUGCGGGCCACAGGGUUGAGAACCGCUAACUUUUGAAAAUACUGUUUCUACAGAUACAUCCAAGAAUAACUUUGGUAACAAUAUACUAAAUGUUAAUGCUUUGGGUUUUCUUUUCUAAAGCUGCAGAUAUUUAGAAAAUUGAGAGGAAUGAACAGGGACAUUUUUGGUGAGGUCACUUUAUUAAUAAGAUCUUAGGGACAUUCACCUCCAGUAUCUACCACUGAUUCUUGUAGUUGUUUAAUAGUACAGUGAAAUAAAAAGUUAUUUUCUCAGUUUUGAUUU